rnacentral:tRNA from 49 species
GCCCAGAUAGCUCAGUCGGUAGAGCAGAGGACUGAAAAUCCUCGUGUCGGUGGUUCGAUUCCGCCUCUGGGCACCA